rnacentral:rRNA from 1 species
GUGGGGAAUAUUGGACAAUGGGCGAAAGCCUGAUCCAGCCAUGCCGCGUGUGUGAAGAAGGCCUUUUGGUUGUAAAGCACUUUAAGCGAGGAGGAGGCUACUUGGAUUAAUACUCUAGGAUAGUGGACGUUACUCGCAGAAUAAGCACCGGCUAACUCUGUGCCAGCAGCCGCGGUAAUACAGAGGGUGCGAGCGUUAAUCGGAUUUACUGGGCGUAAAGCGUGCGUAGGCGGCUUUUUAAGUCGGAUGUGAAAUCCCUGAGCUUAACUUAGGAAUUGCAUUCGAUACUGGGAAGCUAGAGUAUGGGAGAGGAUGGUAGAAUUCCAGGUGUAGCGGUGAAAUGCGUAGAGAUCUGGAGGAAUACCGAUGGCGAAGGCAGCCAUCUGGCCUAAUACUGACGCUGAGGUACGAAAGCAUGGGGAGCAAACAGGAUUAGAAACCCUUGUAGUCC